UACGGAGGGGGCGAGCGUUAUUCGGAAUUAUUGGGCGUAAAGGGCGCGUAGGCGGCUGUACAAGUCAAAGGUGAAAUCCCUCGGCUCAACUGAGGAACUGCCUUUGAAACUGUACGGCUUGAGGCCGGGAGGGGGUAGCGGAAUUCCCAGUGUAGCGGUGAAAUGCGUAGAUAUCAAGUGGAACACCAGUGGCGAAGGCGAGUCUCUGGACAUUUCCUGACGCUGAGGCACGAAAGCCAGGGGAGCAAACGGG
rnacentral:rRNA from 1 species